AACGAACGCUGGCGGCAGGCUUAACACAUGCAAGUCGAGCGCCCCGCAAGGGGAGCGGCAGACGGGUGAGUAACGCGUGGGAACAUACCCUUUCCUGCGGAAUAGCUCCGGGAAACUGGAAUUAAUACCGCAUACGCCCUACGGGGGAAAGAUUUAUCGGGGAAGGAUUGGCCCGCGUUGGAUCAGCUAGUUGGUGGGGUAAAGGCCUACCAAGGCGACGAUCCAUAGCUGGUCUGAGAGGAUGAUCAGCCACAUUGGGACUGAGACACGGCCCAAACUCCUACGGGAGGCAGCAGUGGGGAAUAUUGGACAAUGGGCGCAAGCCUGAUCCAGCCAUGCCGCGUGAGUGAUGAAGGCCUUAGGGUUGUAAAGCUCUUUCACCGGAGAAGAUAAUGACGGUAUCCGGAGAAGAAGCCCCGGCUAACUUCGUGCCAGCCGCCGCAGUAACAC
rnacentral:rRNA from 1 species